rnacentral:lncRNA from 1 species
AGUCUAGGUGGAGAGUCAUGGUGACUUGGACCCAUCCAACAGAGACGAAGACAACUAAAUGGAUUCAGGAUAUAUUCUAGAGAUAAUACAGAAAAUCACCUCUAUUUCAUAAUGAGACUACUGAGACAAGUUAUGUGGAAAACUAUUCUGCUUAGCAAACCCCACUUUGAUGCUCUCUCUUCUGUAGAUCUAGAGAUAACGAGUCCUAACUCUUUGCCAAGGAUAUGGCAAAGACUCUGAUGGAAAAGGCAGUAAUGUGUACACAAAGGUGAACAUAAAUAAAUGUGUGUAUGAUAAACGCUGGGAAUGGACAUAGAAAAACGGGUAUGCAAUUGGACAGAGACGACGGGAGACAGAAGGAAAGAUACUUGCUCAGCUGUAUCUAAGUAAGUUCAUAGGAGUUUCAUGGUCUGAAAAAUCUGUGACAGUGGAAUUUCUACUAAGAAGCUUAAAAAAGUUUCACCUUCUCCUUGGACACUUCAGAAUAAGGCCUUCUUAGAAUAUAAUGCAUUAUAUCACAAAUAUACUUUUAUAUAAAAUAUUUGGGACCAAAACAAGAGUAAAGAACCAGGAUCCGAAAGGGUGAAUGCCUACUAAAUAUCUUUGAUUAUCUAAAGCUGUUUAAAAGCUAUUAGAUUGGCACCUGGAACCCCAAAAUAUCCACUUUUCACUGGGAAGGAGUGGCUGUGCCUCUUCAAUCAUCCCCUAAAUGCAAAGAAGUUUGACCCCCACGCAAUGGAUAAAAGUCACCCAAAAAAUGAACAAAAGAGGUGUUUGGAAAAACCAGAACACCAUUCAUCCCAGCUAACGACUUGUUCAUUAUGAGUGAUGAUGGAUAAAGACUUCUCAUGCUGAGAUGAAAUCAAGAUUUAUAUGCAUUGUUUCCUCUCCCAACUUGUGGGAAGAUCAUCAUCAUUUAAUUCUAUCUCUGCGGCCAGUGAUGGGCAUCCAGAGAGCUGGUUAUCAAACGGCGCAGUCAGCUGGCAAAAGCCGAAACGUGCAGUUGGCACAUCUGGACGGAGCCGCCACAGCCGAGGGUGAACAAUGACUCCUGGCAAGCAUCCAAAUUGCUUGCAGACGCUAGCAGGUCUCAUCUACAACCGCCCCUACCAGCAUCUCUCUCUCUCUCUCUUUUUUAUGAGAAUCAGAUUUUCAUUGCUCCAUUCAAUUGCUCUCCUCUGCCAUUUUUUACAGCUCUUAUCGUUCCCCUGGAAUAUGGCCUUGAGACAGCUCAUCCGUGUCCUUCACUGUGUUAUCUCUUCUAACUUUUAUUAAAACUUCAGCUUUCAUCUGAAGAUAGCUAAUUAAAUCUGGAACAGAUUAUAUGCCUCCCCUUAAAAAGAGCACAAAACUAUUUUCUUCAACCCCAGCAAUGCUUUUUUUCCUUUCCAAAAGGUAAAAUCAAAGGUGUUUAAGAAGUCUCUUUAUUUACAGAGCUAAGAUAUUCAACACGUCAUAUAUGAGUUGAUUUAUAUUAAAGUUGUCUGUGAUAUGACAAAUCUUUGAGCUAUUUCUCAAGAUGAUUAUUUCUCAAUCCUGGUAUAUAUCCUUUAAAUAUCACAGCUAAUACUAUAAGCAUAUUUUCUAUAUAAAGUUGGGUAAUGAGGAGUUAAGUUAUUAGUGCACAUCAAGUGAUUUGUCUUUUUAUUCGUCUUUUUUUUUUAAAGGUUGCCCUCAUUUGAUAAGGAUGAAGAGAAAUUUUUCUUUUCUUCCCCAUACCACAAAUAUUAGUAACUAAAAGUUCUCCCAUGGGAAAUUAUGUGAAAACAUGAAAUUAAUAGCAGUGAUUCAAGUUUAGGACUGAUUCGGUUUUCAAGACAGCUUUAUAUCAACUGAUCAUCAGCACAAGUAGCUCUGUCUGAGUCUACCACAAAUUAUUAAUGAAGGAACUUCCACAAUUGAUAUGAAUACAUUCUUCUCACAUAUGCCGCUGACCCAGUCCCUUUCUGAGGCCGAGGGGCAGUGUACAAUCACCUUUUCUUGCAUAGAUCAGCUAACCAAACCUUCUAGCAAUGACAUCUGAAAGAAUCUAGCCAGCCAUCACACACACACACCCCCUAUGCCCUUUUAAUAAGGGUUAAGCUUCUACUACUGUGAGAAUAUGAUUUAACUAUCCCACCUGAAACUUUCUGGGAUCCUUUUCUUCGCUUCACUGCCUUCAGUAAGAUUUCCUUCAUGGUAACCUUUGUGUUGUCCACCUGAAUAAGGGAGAAUCCAUGAGCAGCAUUUCUGUAGGAAAAGACAAAUAUUAAAUCAUCACCAACAUUCAUCCAGAGAGAUGUUACUGCAAUCUUCACUGUGUUUAAGCAAGUUUUUUUUGUUGUUGUUUGUUUUGUUUUGUUUUUGAAAUGGAGUCUCGCUCUGUCACCCAGGCUGGAGUGCAGUGGUGCAAUCUCGGCUCACUGCAAGAUCCGCCUCCUGGGUUCACACCAUUCUCCUGCCUCAGCCUCCCAAGUAGCUGGGACUACAGGCGCCCGCCACUACAUCCGGCUAAUUUUUUGUAUUUUUUUUUUUUUUUAGUAGAGACAGGGUUUCACCAUGUUAGCCAGGAUGGUCUCGAUCUAUUGACCUCGUGAUCUGCCCGCCUCGGCCUCCCAAAGUGCUGGGAUUACAGGCAUGAGCCACCGCGCCCGGCCGUGUUUAAGCAAGUUUUAAAAAUACAUAAAUCCAUUGUGGCACAAUGUAAUAUGUAUCACCAUGCUACACCUGCGGACGCUUCCGAGCGGCUGCCAUGUCUGUGCAGUCAGGAAUGAUAAGUGAACCACCCGUGAAUGUUAACGAUAGUGAUCAUUCUGAGAAAAAGUUUGCUGAGCUAGAAGCGGUGGCUGAAGCCUAUAAUCCCAGCACUUUGGGAAGCUGAGGUCAGCAGAUCACUUGAGUCCAGGAGUUUGAGACCAGCCUGGGCAACACAGCAACACUCUAUCUCUACAAAAAAUACAAAAAGUAUUUGGGCAUGGUGGUGCAUGCCUGUAGUCCCAGCUACUUGGGAGGCUGAGGUGGGACGAUUGCUCGAGCCUGGGAGGCAGAGGUUGCAGUGAGCCAAGAUGAUGUCACUGCACUCCAGCCUGGGUGACAGAGCAAUACCCUAUCUCAAAAAAAAAGUUUGCCAACCCUAGGAUAACGUGGCGAGAUUUGGGGGGUUAUGUGUUCCAGCAGCUAGAGUUAUUUAACAUAACUAACAAACUUAGUAAAAGUCAAAUGGCAUUACUGCAAGCUGCAUACAGAACUUGUUUGCUGAACAGAGAAAAAUGGUGACAGAAUUCAGUGGGCACAAAGAUCUCUAUGAACAGUCUUGCUGGUCUCUGAAAAAUCUGUGCUGUUUGGUGCCAAGUCACACUAUACACAAGUAUCAGUCAGGCAGAGCCCACUUAUGUAUAGACCAAGCAACAGAUAAAGUAGAGUGACCAAUCUGGUUUACCUAGGAUGGAGGAAGGGGUUGGAGGUGAGCAUCAGGGAGUGCUCAUAGAUUCAGGACUUUCAGUUUUGAAACAGGGAGAGUCCUGGACAAACCAUCACAAACUGAUCAUACUAACAGAAAGCGUGGUGGGCCAAACGUAAAGUAGAGUUUUCUAGGUUAGGAGCGGUGGCUCAUGCCUGUAAUCCUAACACUUUGGGAGGCCGAGGCAGGAGGACUGCUUGAGCUCAGGAGUUCAGGACCAGCCUGGGCAACACAGUGAGACCUUGUCUCUACUAAAAAUAGAGUUAGUUGGGCAUGGUGACACAUGCCUGUAGUUCCAGCUACUUGGGAGGCUGAGGCAGGAGGGUCCUUUGAGCCCAGGAGUUUGGGGCUGCAGUGAGCCAUGAUCACAUCACUGCACUCCAGACUAGGCCACACAGCAAGACACUUAUCAAAAAAAAAAAAAAAAAAAAAAAGCAUUUUCUAGUAAAGAACAUUUAAAAUUUAUGUGUUUGUGUGGGGGGACACAUUAUAAAUCAAUUGGCCCACUAAAAUAAUGGACGAGUAGUUAAAAAUACACUGUUUAAAAGGAUGUUAAUCGUGAUGUCUCAUAUGAAAAUCAAAAGACUCAAGUUGACAAGUAAAACAUUUAACACCCAAUUAAACCCAACAUCAGCAAUGUUUAAUUUCAGCAAAACAUCAUCUGUUACAUUAAAGUUGUUAAUUUGUAUUUUAUUAACGUUAUAAUUUUAUCUGUAUUUAGUUUGUAAUUUUGUUUAGGUUGUGUAAAAACACUGAAUUUAUAGCUAAACAUUACAGAACUUUGUAUUUGCAUGUAUCUAAGUAGCAUUAUUAAAAAACUCAUUUGGAUAAACAUUGAGACUUUAGGAGAAUUUAUUUCCCUUUAAAAGAGUUCUGUACAUAACUUACAUUUAAGAAACUCCCUCAUGACAAUUCCAUGAGAUAGUUACUGUUACCCAAAUUUUAAAGAUGAAGAAACUGAGACUUAACAAAGGUAAGUAAAAUUGUCUAAGGUCAUGCAUGUAGCAAGAUACUAUUGAAGCUGAAACAUGAACCCAGGUUUGCCUAAAUUCAAAGUCUGUGCUGCCGCACUUAGAGGGAAAGAUGGUACUGGAGCCCCGGGAAUAGCCGGUGUGAGGGCCUCUAAAGGUCAGAAGGCGACAUGGGCUUCCUGGUAUUUGAAAGGCAGGAACGGGUGUAAAAAAGGGGAAGAGGUCUUAGAAAGCAAGGUGGGACACACUGCUGGGUCAGGUGUCCUCCUGGCAGCCCACAGACACCUGAAGUUUCAGUCAUUCCUUCUCCAUGAAGCCCUGUGCUGGGUGCUCAGGAUACAGAGAGACAAUAAGACUGUGCCUUCCUAGUCUUCAAGAAGUUAAUGGUCUUGCUACUAACUCAGAGGAUGUGUGCUCAUAAGAGGACUCAUUUGAAAGUAUGUAGAUCCUCGAUGUUUACCCACUGCCCAUGUUCACUGAAAGUUAUUCCAAUUCAGCUUUUUCAGUCCAGCUGAGCAAUGUCCACCUAAACACUACCCCUCCUCUGCUAUAAAACAAAGUCGGAGAAGAAAAAUGUAGAAGUGGCAGAGAUCUACUCAGUAACCCAUUCAAGAAAUACGUGUGACAGAUCUAUCACAGUAAUGGAGUGAUGGUGAGUAUUGUGGGCACAGAUAAUUCAGUUCUUGCUCUCCAAGGGUUGUUUAUUAAUAGUAACAAUAACAGCAGCUAACACUAAGAUGAUGCGUACAUAUGCUAAACACUGUUCUAAGUGCUUCAGAUCUAUUAACUCAUUUAAUCCUCAUAACUGAUCUGUGAGGUAGGUAUUAUUAUCUCCAUUUCACUGAGCCACAGAAAAGUUAAAUAUUCAUCCAGGACCACACACACUAGUAAGGGCAAGGCUAGGAUCGGCAUCCAAGCGAUCUGGCUCACAGCCCACCAUGCUGUCACCUACUGCACUAUAGCAGUGGCUGAAUGUCAGCCUUAAGACAGUGAGAUUCACAGGUUAAACCAACACCAGAUUCCCCAGCCUCAAUCUUUCAGCAGAGGGUUGGAAAGGGCAUGGACUUUAAAGUCAGGGAUGGCGUCAAAUCCAGGCCUAAGAACAAUAUUGCUCACCCUCAGGUUCCACGCCUCUAAAUUGUUCAUAAAAACUGGGCUAUUUUGGGAUUAAGUGAGAUAGCAUAUGCAUAGUUGGCCCUUAGUAAGUAUUAGUUCACUCCCUAUGUCAAACCUACUUGCCUCUUUCUGUUUCAGCUUAGUGUCUUCCCAGCCACUUCUUGUCCCUCCUCUACUGGGAGACAAAUGGAAGGAGGAAAGGGGGGAAAUGACGAGGAGGAGUAGUUACGGCUUUAUUUAUUUUGCUGGGAUUUCCUUCUCUGAAACUUUAGACACAUCCCUACAGACUCCUGAAGGUCUGCUCUGUUCUGCAUCUGUAGGAGAAGCUUUACUAACUUAGAAUAUAGACCAGAAAGGCGAGUAAGAGGUUGCUGAACCAAGAAAAUACACACAGGGCAAACGGUCAGUAAUCUGUACUAUUUCAUCAGACGACUGAGAAAAAGAAAAUUUAUUGACACUUUUGUUCUUAAUGCUCACAUAUAAAGAUUUCACUUUACCUCGUGUUUUCAGAAACACUCCAGACACAUCAAAUAAACUCUCUUGAAUUUUAAAAUAGAAAAAGGAUUGACUGGGCUAUGUGUGUGUCUGGGAGUGGGAACACAGGGAUGGGAGUAAUUCAGGAUCAAAAAACAGAGUAUUAAGUUUAAAGCAGUUGUUACUCUCUGCCUUCCCCCUCCUUCCUAUUCUCCAGAAGGCAGGGUUCAUAGUGAAACACUGUGUAGUCUUAGAUGCCCCUCCUGGAAAGGCAUAUGAAUCCUAGCCCCACUCCACUCUACUGAAAACUCAGUGAUUUAAAGCCUCUUGCUUUAAAAAAGGACUUCUGGUUCAAAAGACUGCUAUGAUCAUGUGUUAACAUUCAUGUAGAAAAAGUUCUAGUCAUAUUAAUAAUCAAUAAAAAUGCAAGUAAAAACUAUCGAAAUGCCACUGUGUAUAUCUUUUAGAGUAGAAAAAAAAACUUCUAAUACCUUGUAAUGGUAAAACUAUAAAAAUGAUUUUAGGAAUUCUGUUGGUAACAUUGUAAAUUAGGACAUCUUUCAGAGGGCUAUUGUCAAUAAAAAGUGAGUCUAAAGAUGUUUUUACUCUGACCAAUAAUCCUACUUACAAGGCAUGAUCCUAAGGAAGUUGUUCAACAGAAUAAAAGGUAUAUAGAUAAUGACCAUCAUCAUCAAAUUACUUAUUAAAACCACACAAGGAAGCAAUCUAAAUAUUCUGUGAUCGGCUUCCACUACAACCCAUACACUUUUCUUUUAUACUGCUUAUCACAUUUUAAUUAUUUGACAACUGUCUCACUACUAGAUAGUAAGCUCCAUGAGGGUAGUGCUGUCUCUGCCUAGAUCUCUGGCACAUAAAUACAGACUGUAGGAAUUAAGAACAAAUACUGAAACGUUUAUAAUUUAUUAUUUUUAGAUGGAGUCUCACUUUGUCGCCCAGGCUGGAGUGCAAUGGCGCGAUCUCAGCUAACUGCUACCUCCGCCUCCCGGGUUCCAGCGAUUCUCCUGCCUCAGACUCCCGAGUAGCUGGGAUUACAGGUGCCCACCACUGCAUCCGGUUAAUUUUUGUAUUUUUAGUAGAGACGGGGUUUCACCAUGUUGGCCAAGCUGGUUUCGAACUCUUGACCCUCCUCGGCCUCCCAAAUCCUGGCCUGCCUCGGUCUCCCAAAGUGCUGGGAUUACAGGCGUGAGCCACUGCGCCUGACCUAAUUUAAUGUCAAGUAAAAAUAACACAAAAAUAUGUGUGCUACAAGUGAAACUGAGUAACAUAUACACACGAUUAUUAUACAAGAUUAAAAAUAGUUAAGAUGGAGGCAUCAUUGGCCAACUUUUCAAUUAUUUUAAAUAUCCUUUAAAGUUAUUUUAGUACCUCUGAAAUGAAAAAGCAGGAAAAAAUUUGCUGUUAUUUACACCAAACUUGACCUUGUAGUAGGGAUGAAACGGCCACCAUGAAAGCCUGAGGGCCCACUCCCCAGCUUACCCCCAGGUACUCAGUUAUUCUUUCUUUGCUCAAGGGUAGAAAGAGCCAAAAUACUCAUAUAUCAUAUGUAGCAUAACCCUAUUUUCUGUAACAAUCUCAAACAAAGGCAGUAUGUUGAGAGAGACAGGGAAAUGUCUUCUAAAGCAAUCCCUUUUGAGCAGUGAAUUUGCUGGUUACUAACAGCAGGGGGUGCCAAAGGGAUCGCUAUUGUUCCCAGGAGACAGCCAUGAGAAGGACUGCUGAGGCCUAGGUUGAAAAAAAGCUUAGGUUUGAGAGUAAAAUCCAAAUGCAGCAGGUUUUCCCUUAACAACUGGGACAUGUGGAUAAAACUCAGGAGCUCAUAAACUUGAAUGGAUAAAAACUACAUUUUAAUUUUCACUAACUUCUAAUAUUUUGCAUUUCCUUGAUUUAUAAGUGUAGGCAAACAAUCACAGCAGAAUCACAGUGCCAGUGACUCUGUCAUGAACAGAAGUCAUAGCUAACACUACAGCACAUUACAGCUGUUGCAGAUUUCUCAAAUACCAUUUAUGCUCAUCACCGCUUUGAAACAACAGGCUUCAGGAGUUACUGUUAGGUAUACAGCUGGAUAUUGUUUAAUCUACUAGUAAAGCCACACAUAUUACUAUAUCAUGAAUUUGUUCAAUAAUCUGAUAACUUUAAAUAACAGAAUACUUUUAUAUUCCAG